GCGAGUGUCGUAUAGCGGUUAUUAUGCCUCCUUCCCAAGGAGGUGACGGCGGUUCGACUCCGCUCACUCGCU
rfam:Candidatus Parcubacteria bacterium 4484_255 ex4484_255_scaffold_2397, whole genome shotgun sequence.